UACGUAGGGUGCGAGCGUUAAUCGGAAUUACUGGGCGUAAAGCGUGCGCAGGCGGUUCGUUGUGUCUGCUGUGAAAGCCCCGGGCUUAACCUGGGAAUGGCAUUGGAAACUGGCGAGCUGGAGUGUGGCAGAGGGGGGUGGAAUUCCGCGUGUAGCAGUGAAAUGCGUAGAGAUGCGGAGGAACACCGAUGGCGAAGGCAGCCCCCUGGGCCAACACUGACGCUCAGGCACGAAAGCGUGGGGAGCAAACAGG
rnacentral:rRNA from 1 species